UCCUGAAUCCCCAUUAGGGUGAAACCAAGACGCUCAGUGACAGAAGGUAGAUGGACACGGCAGACAGAUCCUCAGUUUAGAUAAUUGGGACAUGCCAUAAUACUCACAUUCUGCUUAGUUUAGCUCUCACCACUAAGAAACGCAAAAGAACUUGCAUCCUUCUUCCACUGUGAAAGAAAAUGCUAGAAACCGAGGGUACUAAACGUAACUUACGAGGAAUAUAAAAACACCAAGAGCACUAUGGUUUCAAAAGAACACCAGAAUGCUUGGACUUACCAGACUGAGUAGAAGCUGAAGUGACAGGUGAGGGAAAAGCCAUUUUUGAUGAUUUAUCCACAACAAUCCUACCUCUGACUGUACAAUUCUGACUAGGUCGCAUUUUCUGUAAACACUUACUUGCUUUGAGGCAUGUUGUCAUGGUGUAAAUUUGUAAUGGAAAAGAACACACAAGGAAACAAUGCCUCAAUGGUGUUGCACAGCAGCAAGACGCUGUCUCAACACUUGCACUGACUGACCUCACUAUGUCUUUCUCAUGGGGCUCUAAACAUACAGAAGAAGAGCAAGAACUUCAACUAUUAUUCUGUCACCCAGACCUACAGAGUCAUCCAGAUGUACCAUGGGAAAUGUGCUGCAUUCCCCAAGGGGCUGUGAUGUCCUGCAGCUCAGAAGUCUCAAGUACAUCCUGGCUGCAGGUUGUGUCUGUGCUGGAGAGCUGAGCCUCCAGAAAACAGUGAUGGGAUAGCACUGACAAUUCCAUGCCAUUAAGAAGCAAUACAAGACCAGGAGGUAUGCUGCCACAAAGCUGAAGGGAGUGCAGCUCAUCGCAGGUUGCCUGCACUGCUGGAAGCCAAGUGUUUGCCUGAAUACACUGGAGAGAUGCUUCAAGCACUCCAAAGCCUGCUACCAGCUUCACAGGAACAGGUAUCUUCACUGAGGCUGAGGAAAUGGGGCUGUGCUUCAAAAGGCAUGGGUUGGAAGGAAAAAAACAAAACAAAACAAAGGUACAGUUGUGUUGCAGGGCCAUCAAAAAACUUAUUUCCCUACUGGGAGGGAUGAAUUAGUGGAUUUCACAGCAAGUACACGCAACUUCAUCGCUACUUAGAGUAUUAGCAAGGCCAUUUUCUGUUCCUACAAUAGAUUAAAAGAUACUGAUUUAUAUCAACAGCUGAAUUGGAAUCUGAAGUACUCUCUACAAUUUGGAGAUAGCAACAGUGAGCUUAAAAAUCUACUUGAAGCAUUUUGUGAUGAAUGUUUUAAGAACUGGAUCAAUACAAGCACAUUUUUAAUAUAGAAACCAUUUUCUCCAUUGCUACUUACCUGAAAUGUAGUCACUGCAAGGAGCUUGCUUCUGCAAUACAUUCGCACAUUUGGUAUUCUUGGAAUUGUAGAUGCUUGAUCAAGUCUUUACCUUUAUUAUCACAUUCCCUUUACAUUUAUUAUGAAUAAAAAGGUAACUAUUAUCAUGUCAGACUUAGGAAUUGUUCUGUAGCUAGCUGUUAUUCUUUAGAGAUGAAGUAUGAUCCAAGUUUAAGACUCCAAGUCAAUUCCUUGGGGAGAGAGUGUACAAACAGACAUGGCUAAUGCAACCAGGAAAUAAUGGACUCGGGUAACAAAAAGGAAAUGCAGUUUCCUCCCAGCCAGUACCGUGGUCCCCUGUGCCAGCUGCCAUGGUGGGUUUCAUCCAGGGACUGGAGUAGCUGCUCUCAAAAAGCUGGAGCAGGGACAUCAGAGCAUGGGCAUGAUCUAUGCAGAGCCGCCUUUCCAACAGGCCUUUUAUAGAUAAUUCUGUAAGGCCACAUAAUUUUGAUUUAAAAUUGAUGCUUACCAAAAAUGUUAGAGUUACUGUAAGAACUGGAACAGUGGAUGCCAGAAUGAUUCAAUGACCUUGCCUGGGCAAGGGCACAGCCUCUUCUAGGUGAGCUGCCUUGAAAGCUUUAUUAGACAUUAAACCAGUAUUUCUAAACAAGCUGAAUGAGUGUUAAGCUCAUCUGUAGACCAGUUAAAAUUUCCACAGAAAAUGUAAAAUAGAAGUUGGUAACAGUUUGCCUGCAAGGCUUCUGGAGUCAGUAUUCUGUAUACGUCGAAGUUCCCCAGACUCUGUUCCAUUUAGUUCUCUGCAGAGUAAAAGGUGUGAUUCAUUCAAGAGGCUCUACUGAUGGCACCCAUUUCCUGUCCAAGGUUUAAGGAGGUUUUGAACACCAGCAGAGCCCUGAGAAUGAAUUAAACCUUUUUAUUUAAUCUGAGGCCUCUAAUCACUAUUUUUAGGCUAACCUAUUAAGGCUUAGUUCAAAUUCAUACUUUCCAACAUUAAUAAACUAACUCUCCCUCUGCAUUUUUCAAUCGCAAAACUUGUUUCAGAGUGACACAGCACUAUCUCUCCCAGUAAAUGUCAAGUCCACAACCAAGCACACCCAUCUCUUCUGAAUGGUCCCCCUGCCAUAAAGUGGAAAUGUGUUCAGUUAUAAUGAAGUGCAUGAAAGUGACAUCCUGAAUUUCCACAUCUGUGCUGAGAAGAGCUGGUUUGGGUUGUUGCUUUGGGUUUGGUUUGUGGUUUGUCAAAAGCAGCAGGCACUUGCUUGUGCAGUAAUAAGGACAGGCGUUUGAUAUUGCUGUUUAUUUCUUUUUAAAAAUUAAACAAUUCUGAACAUAUUAUUCUAGCAACAUGCUACUAAGCACUCUAUACAUUCCUUUCUUCAGAAUAAUUCUAACUACAUCUUGGCAGGGAUAAACUGAGUUAGAAUUACUGAGUUUAGUAGUACCAACCAGUUGAGAAGAAUUCCUCCCCUGAAUCUGACAUGAUAUUUGUGUGAAACUGGACUACCCAUAUUUAAUACUGUGUUGUCUUAAAUACCUUCUGAAAUAUAAAUAUUUAGUUUCUCUAUUAGAAACAGUUGUGUGUGUAUUUUUCAUCUUAUUCAGAAUAAUAAGAUAAAAAUUUCCAUGGGCAUUGGAGGGAGUUUCAACUAAGAUUUCGUAAGGCAGGCUUUAAAAUAGUGCCUGAACUAGUUCUUCCACGGAGUUCUUGAUUAAAAUCUGCAUACUUUCAAUAGCUAUUUUCAGCAGCAUAAGUUAUGUGUCCUCCAAAAAGUUUUAAUGAAAACCCUUUUAAUUAAAAUUAGUUUGACAGCCUGAAUAUGCAAAGUCAAACCACAGGAUACUAAAUACUUUCUGAGAUUUGUCUGCAUAUCUACAAACAAAACUUCCCUCAAACAUCCCAUGGAGCAGAAACAAUUGUGGUAGCAAUUAAAAGAUUUUCAGUUGUCAGAUUCAAGGUCACUAGAUAAAUUAUUCAGUCAUUUUUACUUCUAGCAAAAACAAUCUCUUACAGGCAAGUAUGUUUUCGUAUGUUGUUUCCUAAACCGUUUAGAAGCACACUCUUAUAUUCUCUAUUUUACAGCGUUGUGCUUUUUAUUUAUUCAUCUGUACCAGUUUUUAGUUGAAAAUUAUUGUUCAAUUUGUACAAAUCACCCAUGAUUUAAAUUGCGUAAUUACAUUUCAUGUAAUCUCGCAAUUUCAUUGGGUAAUUAAAUGAUUCUCUACAGCUUCUUUAUCAAAAAAACAAUAUACAAUUAAUGAAUCCCUGUAGGAUUUAGCCCCUUCUCACAAGCA